AUUGAACGCUGGCGGCAGGCUUAACACAUGCAAGUCGAGCGGAGUGAUGGUGCUUGCACUAUCACUUAGCGGCGGACGGGUGAGUAAUGCUUAGGAAUCUGCCUAUUAGUGGGGGACAACAUCUCGAAAGGGAUGCUAAUACCGCAUACGUCCUACGGGAGAAAGCAGGGGAUCACUUGUGACCUCGCGCUAAUAGAUGAGCCUAAGUCGGAUUAGCUAGUUGGUGGGGUAAAGGCCUACCAAGGCGACGAUCUGUAGCGGGUCUGCGAGGGUGAUCCGCCACACUGGGACUGAGACACGGCCCAGACUCCGACGGGAGGCAGCAAGGGGGAAUAUUGGAGAAUGGGAGGAGUCCUGAUCCAGCCAUGCCGCGUGUGUGAAGAAGGCCUUAUGGUUGUAAAGCACUUUAAGCGAGGAGGAGGCUCUUUUGGUUAAUACCCAAGAUGAGUGGACGUUACUCGCAGAAUAAGCACCGGCUAACUCUGUGCCAGCCGCCGCAGUAAUAC
rnacentral:rRNA from 1 species